CUCUUGCCUUGCAGCUUGUGUCGGGAGUUGCAGACAGCCAUGGCCCAUGGGCCUGGCGCUGACGGACCCUGGAGCGGUGUCUGAGGGAGGUGGGCAAAGCCACUGGCUGGCCCGAGUGCAUCCUCACGUUUCAAGCUGGAUUGGAACCAAAGUUCACUUCUUUAACGAAAGUGCUUUAUGACUUUAAUAAAACAGUAGAGAAUGGUAGAAUCCAUGGCAGCUCUUUACAAAAACUUGUGAUAGAAAGUUUUGAUGAUGAGCAGACUUUGCAACAACUGGAAUUGCAAAAUGAAGCAAUUUUACAGUGCUUCCAGAAUGCGGUUAGUGAAAGAAAGAUGAAGAUAUCAGUCUUCUCCCAGAGAGUGAAGAACAGGAGCAUGAAGAGGCUGGUUCAGAAACAGAGGCUGAUGGCCAGGAGGACCUAGAAGAUUUAGAGGAGGAGGAGGACGUGUCAGAUAUGGGUGGUGACAAUCCUGAAAUGGAUGAAUGACAAAAAUUACAUCUUUAGAAAAAGAGUUGUUAGAAAAAAGCCUUGGCUGCAUGUGGGGGAAGUGACAGCACAGAAGAGACCAGAGAAGAGCCUCCUGGAGGAGAGCCUGCACUUUGACCAUGCUGUCCGGAUGGGUGCAGUGCUCUUUUCUGCAAAGUGUUCACUUCUCUGCUUUUUCUGUGGUCCCAUUUCAUAGAAAGAUUUGGGGUGAUGUUUCUUUCCCUCAACUUUUAUUUUGAAAACUUGCAAACACAGAAAAGUUGAUAAAAUCAUACAGUGAACAUCUGUAUGCUAUUCAACUGGA
rnacentral:lncRNA from 1 species